UAUAUUUGCCCCGAUUUUGGUUUUGAUGUAGAAGUCAUUUUACAUCCAAUUAAAAGGGAAUCUGGUUAAACUCCAGAGCUGUUCCCGCAACUGUAAGUUUAUGCUGAAAUUUAUUCAGCACCUCUUUAGAGGAUGUUACUUAAACUUUUGUCACUGAUAAAUUUAUUGGGAAGGCAAAGUAACAUAAGAACAAGUCAGGAGACCUGCCUAAGUCACGUGUAAAAA
rnacentral:ncRNA from 2 species